UUACAGAGCUAGCAAUUCCUGUCCUUCACUAAUUUAUCCAUGCAAAAUUACAGAGUUAGCAAUUCCUGUCCAUAAAUACAUGUAGCUGCAUGCCUCAAUCCACCCCGCACAACCUUAUAAAAGAUGUCCCUAAAAUACAAGCAAAAUUAUAGAGCUACCUAUAUAUUCCUGUCCAUAAAAUACGUCUAUGCGUCCAUCCACAUACUUCAUGGAGAAAUACACUGCAAUAUCUGCCGAGCCAUUCACAACACUAGAGUGAACGCUGUCACUAUGCUUUCAGAAUUCCUUUGCCCUAGUACACUUCAAGCCUAGGUUCAGGGGUGCUCAGUUUUUUCACGAACUUUCAGAAACAUUGCAUGCCAAUGCAUUAGUAAAACUGAACGAAAAUGACUCUUUGUACAACUUUGCGGCUGGCCGGCGUUCAACCAUACAAGCAAACGGGCUCUCCGAACAGACAGCAUGAUCACGAUGGUCGAUGGACCAUAAGAAAAUGAGAGCAUAAGUUGCCAUCACGAAGAGCGACCUCUGACUAAGUAACGCCCAAGUAUUCAUCGUUCUCAUUUCUCAUGGAGCAACACACAGGCUACAUCCAGGACAUGAAGCAAGCGGGCAGAUCAAACCAUUUCCCCAAAGAUCCUUGUAAUUUACACCAUGAUGUUACAAUUUGAACCACCCAUUAUGUGUGCAGUUCACCGCAGUUGCCUUGAUAUAUGGCUACAACUCGCAGCUAGCGAGCGCCAACGCCUCACUUGCCGGGGACAAAGUUUGUGGCAAACGCCCAUGCGUUGUUGUUGACAGGGUCGGAGAGGUGGUCAGCGAGGUUCUCGAGUGGGCCCUUGCCGGUGACGAUGGCCUGCACGAAGAAGCCAAACAUAGAGAACAUGGCGAGGCGACCGUUCUUGACUUCCUUCACCUUGAGCUCCGCGAAUGCCUCUGGAUCGUCAGCCAAGCCCAGUGGGUCGAAGCUGCCCCCGGGGUAGAGUGGGUCGACUACCUCACCGAGUGGGCCGCCAGCAAUGCGGUACCCCUCAACAGCGCCCAUGAGCACGACUUGGCAUGCCCAGAUAGCAAGGAUGCUUUGUGCGUGCACGAGGCUGGGGUUGCCCAGGUAGUCGAGGCCACCCUCGCUGAAGAUCUGGGAACCGGCCUUGAACCAUACCGCCUCGCCGAACUUGACGCCGUUGCGUGCAAGAAGCUCGGGGAAGACGCAUCCAAGCGCACCGAGCAUGGCCCACCGGCAGUGGAUCACCUCGAGCUCCCGGUUCUUGGCAAAGGUCUCGGGGUCGGCCGAGAGCCCGGCGGUGUCCCAUCCGUAGUCGCCGGGGAACUCGCCGGUCAAGUAGCUCGGGGGCUCUCCGGAAAGCGGGCCGAGGUAGAGCACACGGUCGGCACCGUACCAUGGGCUGCCUGAUGAAACCGGCUUGGCCUUUGCAGCGGUCUUGCGCAUAGUGACACGGGCCUCACCAAAGAGAGCUGAUGAAGCCACGUUCUUCACCGACUUGCCGGCGAAGGUCGAGGAGAGGGACAUGGUGGUGGUCGCCAUUGCGCUGCUAAGGUGGGAGGUGUAUUGUGUGUUCUCCAAACAAUGAAAACUGAAGAGUGUGGAGAUGGUUUGAGACGUGUGGAGGAUGGAGCUAUUUAAGGAACUGGAGCUAACAUAGGGGAUUGUGCUCUGGUCUGUGUGUGUGUGUGUGUACCGACAAGAUAGAUAUAGACAGGGAAAAAAUCGUGAUCUUCGAUGCUAUUGGUGCAGCAGGGAUCUCGUCAUCCCUCAGGACGUGGCAACUUGAGACCCAGAGAAAGGAGAUAUGUUGUGGCUAGGCCUAGGGAUCUUGUUGGAGAAUGGAGACGUGUGAUUGGAUGAUGGAUCACAUGUUGAUUCUCACAUCAUCAGCUAGCUCACGGUCUGCAUGCAACGUGGCAGUAAACUUGUCUCUGAUGAAGUAGGCGGCGCAAGUGUGGUCAAGAAAGUGAUGGCAAUUUUAGGCCAUACGAUCAUUAUUUAUUUCUUUAUUACUUUCUUUGCUGGUGAACUAUACAUGAAAGCCUCAACAUCCGAGAAUACGCCAUGUAAAAAUAAAAGUUCGCCUCUUUUACUCCUACUAGAAUAAAGGCAUUACCAAAAUGAGCCACGUCUUGAAAAACAAGAACAUGUUAAGUGUGAUUUUUUUAACUAAAGAGUAAAUAACACCAAAGGCAAACACAAACUUGUCCACAGAGAGCAUCAAUUGCCACAGCGUUAUUUUGACAUCUUAGAGCAUCACUAACUGAAUUCUCAAAAACGCUUAACUCUUCAAAGGAUUUCAUGUUAAGGAGUUAAGUUGUAGCUAACCAAACCCUCAAACGGUUAACUCAAAAGUUUAAGAAGUUAAGCCUCGAAAGUUUCCCAAUUAGCGUAAAUUUGAGCGCCUCAAAGUUUCAACAAAAGAUUCUCGUUGCUCCUCUCGUGCCCGCGGUGCCUCCUCUUCCUGCCCCCGCCACUGCAGGCACCAGAUAGCCACUGCAGGCCCGGACACCCCAAUUGCAUCGCGAAUGGAACCGCCCACCACCUUUGCACCAUAGGCGACUCCUCCCGCCAGCGUUACACCACCAGCGUAAAUGAAUGCGGCAAGGAUAUGGCUCGGAACGAAGACCACCAUGCUCUUUGUCACGCCGUCCACGAAGGUCGGCCGCAAGGCUACGCCGUCACAAAGACAACUGGCCCCCCUUUAGUUGCUUCAGCCAACGGCAAGCGGAUGAAGAAGCCAGGCGGGCAAGGCCCUCGAUAAGGUGACAACAAAGAAGAGGGAUAAGUCAUCAACUUCGUAGUCAUUGGGGAAUCAGAGUGGCCGGGGAACGGUGGCGGUGGUUCCAUCCCAAUCGUCCUAUGCUACUACAAGAGGAGGUUGGGGCGGAGGGAGUCGUCGUGGGGUUCGGAUUGUUAGUGUCGUUGUCGCCUUAGAUGGGGGAGAGCAGAGAAGUCGCUCUCGAGCCAUCGCCUUUGCAUCCGCAUGGGAACCACGCAAACACUCAUCAUCCCUAGCUACCUAAUGGGUCGGUCCCUUAGGCCGAAUACUCCAAUCAACCAAUAUACUGUGUUUCAGCCGCCAGAGUAGCGUCUCCUUAGGAGAGCCAGCCCACGAAACACAAACGAGGCGCCUAGAUCAGAUAGACGGCCAGAUCAGAAAAAUGUACGGUCCAGGUGUCUGAAGGCGUGAGAGACUAGGGAUUAGGUUCAGUUUUACCGUCCUAAAUUCCAACUAAAAAUAAGAAUAAUUAGCCUCAAAAAGAGUUACUUUUGUGUACCAAAUUGUGUCAUCCACUACAUAGACAACAACUGAAAGGCCGUCUACUAGACAACCACAGGUACCGGCCCAUCAUGGCGAAGCCGACCGCAUGCAACCGCCAAGGCUAUAUAUCGCCCUUUACUGAUUUCUAAUAAGAAUCACCAAUGGGCGGGCGUUAGCAGGCCCGCCCAACAUUAUAGCGUGGCACACGGUUUUUCUUUCUUUUGGUUUUCCACUGUUUGUAGGUUGUUUUCCUCAAGUUUUCUAUAGCGCUUUUUUCGGUUUUUGGUUUCACUUUCAUUUUUUCUUUGGUUUUUUGGUCUCUUCAUCUGUUUUUUCUUUUACCUUUCUAUUUUUUUUCCUCGUUUUUUCCGUGUUACUUUCUUGGUUUUUUGUUUCUUUCUCUAGGUUUCAUUGAGUUUCUCUGACUUUUUUUUGCUUUUGCCUUCUUUUCAUUUUUAUUUUUUUCAACACAUGUCUACAUUUUUCAUAUCUCAUUGUAUAUUUUUCGUAUACAUUAGGAAUAUUGUUUUACACACGUUUAAAAUCUUUCCAGUGCAUAAUUAACAUUAUUUUAAUAUAUAUUUUGAUUUCUAGUUUUUUUCAUACACAUUGUACACUUUUUGUUUAUACAUCUAAAAUUGAUUUUAUAUAAAUGUUUCACAUUUUCAAAUACAUGUUUAAUAUUUUUACAAAAUCAUGUUUUGAACAUUUUUAGUACAUGUUAAAUAUUUGUUAUGUACACGUUGGAUUUUUUUAAUGAUAAAAAUUUUUCCUGAAUUAAGCAAACAUUUUUUUACAUUGUACAAACCUUCUUUUUUGAAAAUGUCACGAACACAUUUAUGAAACUUGUGAACAUUUUUCUAAAUGUAGCAUACAUUUUUUAUGACCAAUCAUUCUUUUUUAAUAAUACAAACAUUUUUUACAAUGUAUAAACAUUUUCUAUACACGUUUUUCAUUUUUCAAAUACAAGAUUAACCUUUUUAAAAAAUUAUGUAAAGUAUUUUCGUAAUAUAUAUAUAGCAAAAUGUGAUUAAAAACGGAAGUGGAAAAACGACAUGACAUUAGCAUGAUGAUGGGACGCGGUUACUGGGCCGGGCCAAUACCUGCUGUAGGCGAGCUGUGGACCGUGGUAGGACUCGCAGGGGUUUCCUUCGCCCUUCAGGCUUCAGAGAGACUAGUACGGUUCCUAGCCAAGUGUCAAAAAAAUAAUAUUAGGGUUCCUAGCCGCCGCCGUCCCGCCGCCAUUACUGCCGGCCGUCCGCCGCGGAGCGCCCAGCCGGCCGAAGAAGCCUCCGCUGCCCCGACGUCGGUACAGGAUCCCAGCAGCGCCUCCCUCCGUCGAGCAGCUGCUCCCACUAGCAGCGCCUCCCUCCCUGGAGCAGCCGACCCCGCCCAGCAGCGCCACCGCCCGGAGCUACGCGGGCGACCAGUCCAUAGGCAGGUAGCCACCACUCCUUCGUCGUCCCUCCUCCCCCCCUCUUCCCUCACCCACCCUCUCCUUCCUCUUGCAUCCUCUGUCUGUUCAAUUUUUGUUCCUGAUUUUUGUAUGGGAUGAGUAAUUGCUGUAGGUUGGAUAUUGUGCGAAUAUAAUGAUGACUAUUUCUUGAUGAGUGCUUGCCGCAAGAUUUUUCCAGUGCACGUUUGAGUUUACAUGUGGAUGGAUUUUGCUUGGAAUGUGUUUGUGAUAAUGCUUGUAGGGGCAAAUGUUUACAAAUUGUAGUUCGUUUUUUUUCAGGUGAGCAAAUGUUUUGGUUUGAACAUGAUAGCUGUGAAACUUCAGUGAAUGAUGAUAUAUGAAAAGGAAAGGAUUAAGUUGUUUUAUGUGCACGGUCUUGACCUGAAAUCAAAGCUUAGCAGUUACAUGCAAUUCGAGAGACUAGGGUGCCGGAAUGAGUCUAGAUUGGUUUUCGGUGGCUAUGGAGGCUUCUGGCGGCGGAACUCCCGAUAUAUUGUGCUCCCCGAAGUUUUUAGGGUAUAUGGGUAUAUAUAGGAGGAAGAAAUACGUCAGGAGGGCACGAGGGGCCCCCGAGGGUGGAGGGCGCGCCCAGGGGGGGAGGGGCGCCCCCUACCUCGUCCGUCCUCGUUGCUUCCCUUACGUACACCCCAAGUCUUCUGGAUUGAUUCCGUUCCAAAAAUAAGUUAUGUGAAGUUUCAGGUCAAUUGGACUUCGUUUGAUUUUCCUUUUCUGCGAUACUCUAAAAGAAGGAAAACAUAAACUGGCGCUGGGCUCUGGGUUAAUAGGUUAGUCCCAAUAAUAAUAUAAAAGUGCAUAAUAAAGCCCAUAAACAUCCAAAACAGAUAAUAUAAUAGCAUGGAGCAAUCAAAACUUAUAGAUACGUUGGAGACAUAUCACCUGGCGACGAGUUCUGGCUCUAAGGCCAGAGCGGAGGUUGGGGUCGUGAAUCCUUGGAAGAUCAAGUCUCCUCGGAUGUUAGCGACAUAAUCCAAGUUUCCAAAACUAAUCUGGUGACCUGGGGCAUAGCUGUCGAUCUGCUCUAGAUGGCCAAGCGAGUUGGCCCGCAACGCGAAGCCGCCGAACACAAAGAUCUGACCGGGGAGGAAAACCUCCCACAGGGCAGCAUUGUUGUAGAUUAUUUAUGGAGACAUCGAACCUUCUAGUGAUGACACAGCGGAACUCUCAAUGAAAGCACCAAUGUCGGUGUCAAAAUCGGCGGAUCUCUGGUAGGGGGUCCCAAACUAUGCGUCUACGGUUGAUGGUAACAGGAGACAGGGGACACGAUGUUUACCCCGGUUCGGGCCCUCUUUAUGGAGGUAAUACCCUACAUCCUUCUUAAUUGAUCUUGAUGAGUAUGAGGAUUACAAGAGUUGAUCUACCACGAGAUCGUUGUGGCUAAACCCUAGAAGUCUAGCCUGUAUGAUUAUGAUUAUGAUUGCCUCUACGGACUAAACCCUCCAGUUUAUAUAGACACCAGAGGGGCCUAGGGUUGUACAGAGUCAGUUUACAAAGGAAGGAAUCUACAUAUCCGAACGCCAAGCUUGCCAUCCACGCAAAGGAGAGUCCCAUCCGGACACGGAGAGAGGUCUUCUGUCUUGUAUCUUCAUAGCCUAUUAGUCCGGCCCAUGUUACAUAGUCCGGACGCCCGUGGACCCCUUAAUCCAGGACUCCCUCAGUCCUUGCUGCUCCUACUUGCAAUUAUUAUGAGAGAGGAACUACAUCUCCGCCUCUUUAUGUUUCCAACAUGAUAGAAUUGCAAGAAACUGUUUAUGCUAUGUAUUGGCCUUUACUUGAUUGCAUGAAUUGUUCUUGUAUGACAUGCCGAUGCAUAGGAAGAGAGUUAAACUUCAUCAUUGCAUGAUAUAUGUUGCUUUGUGCUCACUACUAAAUGCCAAAUCAUUGUUAAUUCAAAUUGUCUUUGAUAUACCUUGGGAUCCGGGUGGAUUCAUUACUUGAGCACUUUACGCAUAGCUUAAUGCCUUUAAAGAAAGCGCUGCUAGGGAGACAACCUGGAAGUUUUAAAGAGUCAUUUAUUUCUGUUGAGUGCUUUUAUAAAGUUUAAAAACAAAAAAGAUAUAGAGGGGAACUUAAAAACUUUUUCACAAAAGAGAAGCGAUUGGAAGUUAUGCAUUGAAGAAGUGAGGGUCGAUCUUGAACACUUGUGUUCAUGCUCAUGGAAACAAUGUAGAAUUUUUCAUGAAUAUUAUCACAAAAAUAAUUAUCCCCUUGUAAAAUUCUAUUGUAUUAUAAAAAUAAUGUGCCAAGAUUUGCCUUUAGGAUGUUUAGAUUGCUUGUUGGUUUGUGCGGUGCAAAACAGAAACUUCGGCUAUAGUGCUCGAUUUUACAUUUUUUUUACUGGAACAUCAAAUGGUCCUGAAACUUUUUGCACUAUCUUUCUAUACAAAUUGUUUAUUUUUCCUAAUUUUUUCAGAAUUGUUGGAGUACUAGAGGUAUGGUGAAUGUUCAGAUUACUACAUAAUGUCCUAUUUAAGACAGAUUCUGUUUUUGAUGCAUUGUUUUGCUCGUUUUGAUGGAACUAUCGAUUUUUAUCGGUAGUAUAAGCUAUGGAAAAGUUAUAUUACAGUAGCUACAAUGCAAAAACAAAUAUGAAUUGGUUUGCAACAGUACUUAGAGUAGUGAUUUGCUUUAUUAUACUAACGGAUCUUACUGAGUUUUCUGUUGAGUUUUGUAUGGAUGAAGUGAUCAAAGAUCGAGGAGUUCUCGAUAUGAGGAGAAGGAGGGGAGGCAAGAGCUCAAGCUUGGGGAUUCCCAAGGAACCCCAAGUAAAUAUUCAAGGAUACUCGAGCGUCUAAGCUUGGGGAUGCCCUGGAAGGCAUCCCAUCUUUCUUCAACAAGUAUCGGUAUGUUUUCGGUUUCGUUUCGUUCACGUGAUAUGUUCAAAUCUUGGCGCGUCUUUUGCUUUUAGUUUUCAUUUUUCUUUUGUGCACCAUGCUGGUAUGAGAUAGUCCAUGGUUGAUUUAUAGAAUGCUCAUUUCACUUCACUUAUAUCUUUUGAGUAUGGCUUUAUAGAAUGCUUCAUGUGCUUCACUUAUACCAUUUGAAGUUUGGAUUGCAUGUUUCUCUUCACAUAGAAAACCGUUAUUUGAAGAAUGCUCUUUUGCUUCACUUAUAUUUAUUAGAGCAUGGUCUUUUGUAGAAAGAAUUAAACUCUCAUGCUUCACUUAGAUCUAUUUAGAGAAUCAACAGGAAUUGGUCAAUUGCAUGGUUAGUCAUAAAAUCCUACAUAAAACUUAUGGAUCACUGAAUAUGAUAUGUUUGAUUCCUUGCAAUAGUUUUGUGAUAUAGAGAUGAUAAUGUGUGGGAGGUACUAGUAAAUGGUUGUGGUUAGUAGGAAUAUUGGUUUUAAGGUUUGUGAUUCCCGAAGCAUGCACGUAUAGUCUCUCGUUAUGCUAUGAAGUUGGAUCAUGAUUUAUUAUUGAUUCUCUUCCUUAUGAGUGGCGGUCGGGGACGAGCGAUGGUCUUUUCCUACCAAUCUAUCCCCCUAGGGGCAUGCAUAGUAGUAUUUUUCUUCGAGGGCUAAUAAACUUUUGCAAUAAGUAUAUGAAUUCUUUAUGACUAAUGUGAGUCCAUGGAUUAUACGCACUCUUACCUUUUCGCAAUUUGCUAGCAUCUACGGUAUCAUGCAUUGCCCUUUCUCACAUCGAGAGUCGGUGCAAACUUUGCCGGUGCAUCCAAACCCCGUGAUAUGAUAUGCUCUAUCACACACAAGCCUUAUUAUAUCUUCCUCAAAACAAGGACCAUACCUACCUAUUAUGGCUUUUCCAUGGCCAUUCCGAGAUAUAUUGCCAUGCAACUUCCACCACUUCCGUUUGAUGACUUGAGCAUUCAUUGUCAUAUUGCUUUGCAUGAUCAUAUAGAUGACAUAGUAGUUAUGGCUCAGCCACCGUUCAUCAUUUUUCAUACAUGUUACGCUAGAUCAUUGCACAUCCUGGUUCAUUGCCAGAGGCAUUCAUAUAGAGUCAUACUUUGUCAUAGGUAUCGAGUUGUAAUUUUUAUUUUCUUUUGAGUUAUAAGUAAAUAUAAGUGUGAUGAUCAUCAUUAUUCAUUUUUAGAGCAGUGCCCUAGUGAGGAAAGGAUGAUGGAGACUAUGAUUCCCCCACAAGUCGAGAUGAGACUCCGAACAAUGAGAGAGAAAAAAGAAAAAAGAAAAAAAGAAAAAAAGAAAAAUAAAAAAUAAACAAAGAGAGAAGGGGCAUUGUUAGUAUCUUUACCAUACUUGUGCUUCAAAGUAGCACCAUGUUUUUCAUUUGGAGAGUCUCCUAUGUUGUCACUUUCAUAUACAAGUGAGAAUAUUUCAUUAUAGGAUUAGAUGCACACCCACUUAGUUUUCAUAUUGAGCUUUCAUACACUUAUAGCUCUUAGUGCAUUUGUUGCAUGGCAAUCCCUACUCCUCAUGUUGACAUCGAUUGAUGGGCAUCUCCAUAGCCCGUUGGUUAGCCGCGUCGAUGUGAGACUUUCUUACCUUUUGUCUUCUUUAUAUUUACCCCUAUCAUCAUACUCUAUUCCACCUAUAGUGCUAUAUCCAUGGCUUGCGCUCAUGUAUUGUGUGAGGGUUGAAAAAUUUGAAGCGCGUUAAAAGGUAUGAACUAAUUGCUCGGCUUGUCAUCAGGGUUGUGCAUGAUAAAUACUUUGUGUUAAGAAGAUAGAGCAUGACAAGGCUAUAUGAUUUUGUAGGGAUAACUUUCUUUAGCGUUGAUAUUUUGAAAGACAUGAUUGUUUAUUGGGAUGCCUGAGUAUUGAUGUCUUUAUGUCAAAUUAUAGACUAUUGCUUUGAAUCACUUAUGUCUUAAUAUUCAUGCCAUGACUAGACAUAUGAUGAAGUUUAUGCUAGGUAGCAUUCCACAUCAAAAAUUAUCUUUUUUAUCAUUUACCUGCUCGAGGACGAGCAGGAAUUAAACUUGGGAUGCUGAUACAUCUCCGUCGUAUCUUUAAUAUUUUAUUGUUUCAUGCCAAUAUUAUACAACUUUUACAUACUUUUGGCAACUUUUUAUAUGAUUUAUUGGACUAACCUAUUGAUCCAGUGCCAAGUGCUAGUUCCUGUUUUCUGCAUGUUUUUUGUAUCGCAAAGUAUCCAUAUCAAACGAAGUCCAAAUGCAACAGAAUUUUACAGAGAAUUGUUUUGGAAUAUAUGUGAUUUUUGGGAGUUGGAAUCACUGCAAACGGAGGCCCACACAGCCCACAAGACACCAGGGUGCGCCAGAGGCCCCUGGCGCACGGUGGUGGGUUGUGCCCACCUCAUAUGUCGGUUGGAUCUCUACUUUGGGCGCAAGGAAGCUUAUAUCCGGAAAAAAUCGUGUUAAAAUCUCAGCGCAAUCGAAGUUACAGAUCUCCGGGAAUAUAAGAAACGGUUUUCGGCCAGAUCUGGCGAACGCGAAACAGAAGAGAACAGAGAGGGAGACCCAGUCUUGGAGGGGCUCCCGCCCCUCCGCCGCCAUGGAGACCAAGGACCAGAGCGGAAACCCUUCUCCCACCUAGGGAGGAGGCCAAGGAAGAAGAAGAAGGAGGGGGCUCUGUCCCCCUCGCUUCCAGUGCCACCGGGGCAAUGAUCGAGACGGCGAUCUACACCAACAAUCUUGCUACCAUCAACACCAACUCUCUCCCCCUCUAUGCACCGGUGUAACACCUCUUCUCCCCGCUGUAAUCUCUACUUAAACAUGGUGCUCAACUCCACAUAUUAUUUCCCAAUGAUCUAUGGUUAUCCUAUGAUGUUUGAGUAGAUCCGUUUUGUCCUGUGGGUUAAUCGUGAUCUUGGUUGGUAUGAUUGUAUAUUUUAUUUAUGGUGUUAUCCUACUAUGCUCUCUGUCUCGCACAAACAUGAGGGGACCCCGCUAUAGGGUGUUGCAAUAUGUUCAUGGUUUGCUUACGGUGGGUUGCGAGAGUGACAGAAACUUAAACCCGAGUAGGUGGGGUAUGACGUAUGGGAAUAAAGAGGACUUGAUACUUAAUGCUAUGGUUGGGUUUCACAACCUUAAUGAUCUUUAGUAGUUGCGGAUGCUUGCUAGAGUUCCAAUCAUAAGUGUAUAUGAUCCAAGUAGAGAAAGUAUGUUAGCUCAUGCCUCUCCCUCAUGUAAAAUUGCAAGAAUGAUUAUCGGUACUUGUUGUCGAUUGCCUAGGGACAAAUAACUUUCUUGUUGACAAAAGCUCUCUACUAAAACUAACUUAGUCAUGUCUUUAUCUAAACAGCCCCUAGAUUUUAUUUGCGUGCUCUUUAUUAUCUUGCAAACCUAUCCUAUCACACCUACAAAGUACUUCUAGUUUCAUACUUGUUCUACGUAAAGCGAACGUCAAGCGUGCAUAGAGUUGUAUCGGUGGUAGAUAGAAGUUGAGGGAAUAUUUGUUCUACCUUUAGCUCCUCGUUGGGUUUGACACUCUUAUUUAUCGAAAAAGGCUACAAACGAUCCCCUAUACUUGUGGGUUAUCACUAGCCACCGUGCUUCACUGAUGUACUCGGCGGGAAAUGUGGUCUUUCGUGAUUUGACGACUCAUUUACUUGCUUCGGCGCUAUAACCGAGGAAGACCCAAAAAACACGCGGUAGGGCGUCCCAUGUCUCGGCAAGGAAGAAUAUAUACGUGCACCACCCGGGAGGACCCCGAAACCGCGCUAUAGGGCAUGCCACGUCUCGGCACGGAGGGAAAAUGUGCGUGUAAAAAUAUACUGUAUCAGACAUAGUAACUAUGGUUCGACCUUGGGACCCAGCCAGUCGGUCGAAAACACCCCACUAGCCACAUAGCUUCAUCAUGCUAACGUGGCACGGAGGAUAGGUGUGGUUAGCUCCGUCUCGACCAGCCACAACGUCUCUUGUUCUAGGCGAUUCUUCUAUUUUCCAAGCUUUUAUUUAGUUAUAAUAACACCAUGACAAGCUGGCGCCGCUCUUCGUUUGUGCCUGUGCGUCUAAAGGUUAGACGAUGGAGAGGAGAGAGAGAGAGGUCGUAGACCUGGGACCCACCAGUAAGUGAGUCAACGGUCAUGCACGUGUUGACGAGGCACUCCCUCUACUCUACUCAAUGUAAUACUGUAUAAAAUCAAAUUAUGGGACAAAGCCAACAACCGUUGUCGUUUCAGGCUAUCGACUUACGCUUUACAAUCCAGGUUGCCAAUUCGAAUCUCGUCUUUCAAAUUUGUUCGUUUUAGGUCCAAAUUUGAUCAAUGACAAGUGGGACCCCAGUGUGUUGUUCCGAUAUUUCAAUGUAGGAUGGUUUUUUUUUUGAACAAACACUUUGCGCGUUAGACAAGUAACGGCACGAGUUACACAUACUUUGCAAGUUUACGAACAAAAAUGAUAGCGGCAUAGAAUAUCACAUCCACCCCGCAGCUUAGAUGCUAUGGUGAUACGAGUUUUUACAUCGUUGGAACUAAGAUCCAAUGGCUUGGGAGUAGUCUUUGUAAUUAUGCGCAAUUUCCAAACUCUCCAAGGGUUUUUUUGCAAAUAAAAUAUUCAGGCCUCGUGUGUGCCAUGCAUCUUGGAUCCAACGGCUCCCCGUUGCUCAUAUUAGGUGCUCCUCGUAACUUAAUUAGCCGCUACAGUGAUACGAGCAUCUAGGUCGUAUGAUCUGUGAUCAGAUGCCACAUGCGUAGUACUUGUACUUUCUGUGCAAUUCCCAAACUCUCUCUGGCGUAUAUUACAAAAACAUUCAAACCUCCUACUGUUAGCCGUUAGAUCUCCGUGAACUCGUAUCACCAUAGAAUCUACGGUGCGGGAGCACCUCAUAUUCUCCCGUGCGAGAAAACAUCAGGUGCUCUCGCAGCUUGGAUGCUACGGUGAUACGAGCUUCGAGGUCGUUUGAUCUGAGAUCCAAUGGCAUCUGAGCAGUCUUUAUGCUUGUAAGCAGUGGUCGAACUCUUUGAGGGCUUUUCUGCAAAAGAAACAUUCGAACCACCGAGGAGUUGUUGGGUCACAAAUCCAACGGCUCUGAAGAGCUUGUAUCACCAAAGCAUCUAAGGUGUGGUAGCACAUGAUAUUCUUACAUACAGGAGAAUAUGAUUUCCUCCUUCAUCUUAGAUGCUACGAUGAUACAAACUUCGAGGUCGUUGGAUAUGGGAUCCAAGGGCAUCUGAGUAGUUUUUGUACAAAUUGUGUGCAAUUCUCAAACUCAUUAAGGUUUCCUGUAAAAAUAUUAAGACAUCCUGUGAGAUGCUAUGAGAAGUUGCACAAAUGAAGAGCCAAUGUAUUUUGGAACAAAGACCUGUCACAUUAAGGCAAACGCUUUCACUGUUGAAACCGUGGGCGUUUACAUGCCGCCACAAGUCCAGCUUCUCAUCGGCAGGUGUCGUCCGAGCAAGCGUGUGAGUCGACGGGAGGCGUGCAAGCAGACCGUUACGCUGGCUGACAGGGAGGCGUGCAAGCAGACCGCUGCGCAGGCUCACCGGGAGGCGAGCCCUUUGACCAGGCUCCGCCGCCCACCUUCGUCCCAACUGUUUCCACUUUUAAUGUUGCUGGUGCCGAAGUUUAAAAUCAACCCAACACUACCAGGUAUCGCUACAAUCUUCUCCCUUCCUCUCCGAUUCUCCUGUCGUCUACCUCCAACCAGCCUGACCUAACCAUAUGCCAUGCCGCAUCACGAUGGUCUGCCCUAAGUCUUCCAGUUUGCUGAGGAAGACACCCAGCCGGAGUCUCAAGAACAUAAGGCACUUUGGGACGAGCUUGAACCAGCCUUGCGGGAAGACGCCGUGCCUGUCCCCGCUCCCGUUCCGGCUCCCGUCGCCCCGACUGCUCCAGCGCCAAUCCCCGUGGCAUUGAUGGGCUGGGAGCCGCACAUUGUCGCCGAUCUUGAUGCCACGGAGUUCCACGAGGUCCCCACCGACUUUCACAUGCCCGUGCACCUACCAACGCAUGCGCCUGCGUGCACUGAUGUGCGCACCUGUGCCGGUGUCCGUGCACACGAAUGUCUCCACCGCGCCAUUGCCAGCGCCUGUCCCUGAGCGGGUGCCAGUGCCCCCCUCAGCGGCAUGGAUGGCCACCGUCGACCGCUUCCUUGCACCAACGCCAGUCGCCUCCUCCUGCCAGUUGACUCGCUCCUAGAGACCGAAGUCCAGAACAUUGUGGCCUUCCUUGAAGCUAGGGCCAAUGUUCAGGAGUACGCCAACAAUGGCGCAAGACGCUGCCGUCGCCGUCGGUCAGUGGCCCGACGAUACACAAAGCACGACAGAGGAGCUGCUUCCCACCGCAAGACGCCGCCGCCGCCGCCGUGUAAUCUAAAUUUGCCGUGAAAAACAUUCUGAUUGCCACGCUUAAAAUCUGAACGUUUAUCAUUUCCGUUUAUUUUAGAUCGAUCGUCGUAUGAAUAUAAAGUUGGAGUCAGACUGAAUGAAAUCUAUGGUUUGAUCGAUUGAAUGUUCUGCUAGAGCCGUAUCAAAUUAAAUAUAAAAUGUCAUCAAGCCACAUGUAUUCCUUCUCAUCCAAUGACCUAGACUGCUUCACGAGCGCUCAACACGUUUAGCGUGCAGUUAAUUUCACGCUGAAAAUAGUGCUAAUCACAUAAUAACACGCAAAUAAUAUCCUACUUAAUAUCCGCAUGCACGUAAUAUACUUCCAAAUUAACGUGCAUUGCAUGUACACAUUGACUAGUACUACUAGUACGUGAAACUGGUGCCGUAACUUGUGAACGCGUUCAAAUAUGGUCAACGGCAACAUCGCCCGCGAGUUCUUCGUGUUUGCUCGUGCGUCUAAACACGGAAAGGGAGGAGAGAGAGCACACAUGGAACCCACCAAUAAAUGAAGGCAAAUAGUACAUGCUAAUGAGCCGGUCCCACUAAUGUACUAAAAAUAAUAUUACAUGUUAUCCAUUAAAUAGGCCGUGGUAAUAUAAAAACAUUAUAUGAACAAAGGGGGUACAACAAACAUUGUUGUUCUACGUAUGUUGCCUAUUGACGUGCGGCUUGAAGGCCCUGGUCGCAUGUUCGAUCCUCGUCCUUUAUUUUUUAAUUUGUAUAUGGGUCCAAAUUUGUUUGAUGACAGGUGGGCCCCUUUGUGUGUAGUUUGUAGCACUUUACUUUGUGGGUCGAAAUUUUUUCCAUUCCAGGUGGACUAUCAGUGUAUAGUUUUGUAGCUUAUUUAUAAUAAUUAAAGAGAACAACAGAGUUUUUUGCAAUAAUACCAUGAUGCGACGUUGAAGGCGAGAAAGGACGUGUGAGAGAGCAAUGACCGAGCCAGAGGGAAAUCAAUUGGGGGAGGUGCGGGGGUUGCAACAGUGUUUGGAGUAGUUGUGGGACGAAUGAUACGAAAAUAUAAUCUAAACCCACCGGAAUAAAUGCAUACACAAAUUAAUUCAAGGUUGGAGUCCCCCUCGCAAUGUAAAUAGCUCCGGCUUUGCGAGUUGAGGUAGCUUCAAAUGUGUGGAAGAUACGGCGUGAGAAAGUGAGGUCAAUCGAGAGACAUAUAGACAGAGAGACAAAGUGAGUGUGGUCCGACAUUCAUUGAAAAGAUAUAUAUGAUUUGGAGAGAUAUUGUCCGAUUGAGAUUUUGGGAAGGAUGAGGGCUGUAAGAUAGAGCUUGAUAGAUGAUCCAGUCACAGACAUGUAGAUAUAUUUUGUGCGUGGGAGGAAGUAAGGUCAAUCGAUUACAUAUAUAAAGGGGGAGAGAUUGAGCGAGUGUGGGUCGUCAUGCGAUCGAAAGAGUGAGACGGGUUGGAGAGAGUGACCUAGAUAGACAAUGUGCGUGAGAGAGUAUACAAUAUGAAUAUGUCGAAUUGGGCUCAAACAUGGAGAUAUAUCGUUUGUGUCCGAGAAAGAGCGAGGUCAAUCGAGACAUACACACACACACACACACACAGAGAGAGAGAGAGAGAGAGAGAGAGAGAGAUUGAGCGAGCGUGGCCCGCCAUGAGGUCGAAAGAGUGGGAGCGGCUUGGAUGUACUGACCUAGAUGGACAAUCUGCGUGAAAGAGUAUAGAGUGUGUCGAUCAAGGCCCGAACAGGGAGAUAUAUCAUUUGCGUGUCAAAGAAAAAGAGGGGUCCGAAUUGGACUUGGAGUCCUAGUAGGAAUCCUCGCCUUGGGGGCCAAGGCGCGCCUUGGCCGGCCUCCUCUCCCCUCCCUCCUUUAUAUACAUGGGAGUGGUGCGCCUCCUAGACACACAAUUGUUCCAAGCCGUGUGUGACACUUCCCUCCACCGUUUACUUCUCCGGUCAUAUUGUCAUAGUGCUUAGGCGAAGCCCUGCGCGGAUCACUUCAUCAUCAUCGCCGUCGUGCUGACGAAACUCUCCCUCGACACUUUGCUGGAUCAAGAGUUCGAGGGACGUUAUUGAGUUGAACGUGUGCAGAACUUGAAGGUAUCAUACGUUUGGUACUUGAUCGAUUGAAUCGAGAAGACGUUCGACUACAUCAACCGCGUUAAACUAACACUUUUGCUUUGGUAUACAAGGAUACAUGGACACACUCUUUCCUUUUUCGUUGCUAUGCAUCUCCUACAUAGAUCUUGCGUGAUCAUACGCAAUUUUUUGAAAUUACAUGCUACGUUCCCUAGCAAAAACUUAGUGAAGUAAAUAUAUUCCACUAAAGUUUACUCCUCUAUUUUUAAGGAUCGGUUAGAAAUUCCCUAAGCACACUUGGCCAGCACAUUUUUUGUAACGUGGUGGUGGGGAGAGCGGGUGCCCGCCCGGGGAAGAGGAGAGGUUGUCGUAGACGCAGCCAGGGCGGCUGGGCGACCGCACUGGGCUACGGCUGCUGUUGUGAGAGAAGAGAGGGGGAACACUUUCUCUCAUAUGACUGAUCCUUCCCAAAUCAUCAAACAACUGCUACAUCGUCGAUUUGUUUUUCCAUCACACAGACUGACUAGUCUGAUGGAGGGGAUCAGUAAUCUGACCCCUAGUGUUUCGAUGAAGCAUGCGCAUUUAGUCACAAAUAUGCCUUUUUUUCAAUAGAAAAUUUUAAUAUAUUCAUCAAUCAUGGCAGCACAGAGAACACUGUAGAUAAUAGAAAUUGCAUCCGGGUCCAUGGACCAUCUAACGACGACUACAAGCACUGAAGCGAGCCAAAGGUGCACCGCCAUCAUCGAUCCACCUUCAUUGGAGUCAGGCAAACCUUAUUGUAGUAGGCAGUCGGGAAGUCAUCAUGGUAAGGCCUCAAAGGACCAGUGUACCAGAGCAGCAACCAUCGCCGAUGAAGAGAGUUGUAGAGCGGAAAGAUCAAACCUGUAACCACAUAAACGAACAAAAACAUGAUCCAAAUAGAUCCAUCAAAGACCAUUACCGACUAAAUUUCGUGAGAUCCGAUGAAGGCACACCUCUACAUGUCCUUUGAUAACGCUAUUCACACCAUCGAGGCGGGAAUAGGACGUAGUAGACAUUGUUUCUACUGAGAAACAUCGUCACUGUCACAUAGCCCNNNNNNNNNNNNNNNNNNNNNNNNNNNNNNNNNNNNNNNNNNNNNNNNNNNNNNNNNNNNNNNNNNNNNNNNNNNNNNNNNNNNNNNNNNNNNNNNNNNNNNNNNNNNNNNNNNNNNNNNNNNNNNNNNNNNNNNNNNNNNNNNNNNNNNNNNNNNNNNNNNNNNNNNNNNNNNNNNNNNNNNNNNNNNNNNNNNNNNNNNNNNNNNNNNNNNNNNNNNNNNNNNNNNNNNNNNNNNNNNNNNNNNNNNNNNNNNNNNNNNNNNNNNNNNNNNNNNNNNNNNNNNNNNNNNNNNNNNNNNNNNNNNNNNNNNNNNNNNNNNNNNNNNNNNNNNNNNNNNNNNNNNNNNNNNNNNNNNNNNNNNNNNNNNNNNNNNNNNNNNNNNNNNNNNNNNNNNNNNNNNNNNNNNNNNNNNAUGGCCCAAAGGCCAACGGAGGUGGGCUGGAUCGACGGCAGCGCUGGCGGGAGAAGGAGACUUUUGUUAUGGAGGAAAGACUCACGCUCAGUCACAAAUAUGCUUUUCUUUUACCACAUCAUAAACUAUGUCCAGGGAACCGACCAAUCUUAAUUCACGGCAACUAUCAUGUGAUCCGUAGCAAAGCACGAGUUUUGUGUUAAUUUACAAUAAUAUACAUGUAGUACUCUCGCAGUGUCACUAGAAUAGGAGAAGUGGCGCGCAACGACACACUUAGCAGGUUUUGCGAAACGAGCAGCAUCUAUAAGACGUUAUUUGACAUUGUCAUAGACUCUGAAAACGUCUUAUAAAAAUUAUACUCUUUCCAUAACUUAAUAUAAGACGAUUUUUUGACACUGUCAUAAACUCCGAAAACGUCCUAUAAAAUAUUAUAGAGAUGCUAGUAUUUUAUAAAUAAGCGGCAUGUAUAUAAAAAUAUAUUUAUUUUCUCCCUUUGCAAUACACGGCGUAUGUGCCAGUUGAAACUAGACGCCAACACAAUGUUCACCACUUAACACUGGGGAGCAAACAUUGGGCUAUUCUUUUUCUAGUAACUGGAAACAGAAUGGGUGGUUGUAAUAUAUCUAGGGAAAACCUUCAUGGGACUUUAUUGAUUGGCAGAUCAACUUACAUCGUCCACACAUUCAAAGUAAACUUAGGUGACAUACAGGGGACAAGGGUAUGUGUCGCUCUAUUACUUUUCCUAGGACAAUGAUCAAAAGAGAUGGAGCAAAACCUGUGUGCAAGGUUAGUGCAUUCCUUGUCAAUUCAUGUUGUCGGGCUGAUGGAAUUUACCCCAUUCUUCAUGAUGUCGAGUACCUCCACACAGUCAUGGUUUGACAAAGAUCUUGUUACACCCAGUGGGCUGGCGAGAAUUAGUACAUCCCAGAGUGCAUGCGCUUCAAUGUUUAGUGCAUCUGCAACACAUGUAACACGACAGCUUUCAGGAUGUAAAUCUAAGGUCUGGCCUUAAUUGGUUGUGCCUGACAGUGGCCUUAUUGAAAGCAUUGUUUUGAGAGUGUGUAUUUUAUUCAGGAUGUAAACCUAAGAUCUAUGAUCGGGUGACGACGGCGCUUGUGCACUGUUUCCUUCUUGAAGGCGUCGCUUUUGGAGGAUUUGAACUUCAGUGUUGUCAUGGUGGGGGUUCGUGCUGCAGUUAUAAGGAUAUUUUGUUGUUGCAGAGACUAGGCGUAAUUGGUAUCUCUGCGAUAUUAAUAUAUUUUCUGUCAGAAAAAAUAUAACACGACAACAACUAGCAAAGAUGAACACACCAUGCUUGUCCCAAAUAACAGAACUAGUGGCACCUGAGCUCUCAUCAGCAAAGAAGGUUGUGUCCAUAUUCAGUUUAACAAAACCUUCCCUUGGAUCUUCCCAACCAUGGCAUCGGAUCACAAGGCUUGGCGUCGACGCUAAUAGUAAUUUGGUGUUGGCGCCGCAACACUUGGGCUCAUCAGGCGAGCAUUUGUAUACUCUCCUCAUGAACAACAUGUAUCCGCUCCCAUCACGCAUACCAUAAUGUUGUAACAAACAAUUCUUUCACUCAACUUGGAAGAUGAUCGCCAUCUUAUAUUAUUGCGUUAAAAACUUAUACUUGCUUACAGAACCAAAGAUCUGAUGAGGGAAACCUCUUCCGCUUAAUUAAUUGACGAGGCAAAUAUUUUGUCUAGUUUCAAAAAGAGAACUGAAGAUCCCACUCGAUCACCACAUAGGCUUUAGAAAUCUCAGUGUGGAGAUCGAGGUUUCCCCGGACUUUCUUCGCCUUGCGACACCAAAAGAAUGCAUCUAGGGUAUCUUCACAAUGCAUUCUGCAUGGCAUAAACUGCUCGGGAUAAUAUGUAUGUUGCCUAGAACAAAAUUGAAUGUCACAGUGCCACAUAAAAGUGUGCAAACAAAAGAUUUCAAGUCUAGAGACUUAGGGCCUCGAUUCGCAGGAUUCUUAAAACAUAGGAAUAGGAAAAUUAUAGGAUUGUAGUGGCAUGCCCACUUGAAUCCUAUAUGAAUAGCAAGGAGUGUUUAAUGCCAUAGAAAAAAACAAAGGAAUUGUAAAAGGAGGUCAGAGUGGAUAUUAGAUUUCCUAUGAAAUGUAGUACAAGAUUUCAUAGGGAAAAAAUCCUAUGGGAUCCAAUCAUGUGAACCGAGGGACCAACAUAGGAAAAAUUCCUAAGAAUUUAAAUCCUCCAAAAAUUCUAUGGAAUUUCUUUGAAUCAAAGGGCCCUUAAGGUUUCUGCGAAGGUGUGGAUAGUUGUAAAUUGGCCAUGUUAUUUUUAGCAUUUAAAUUCAACUCAGUAAGUUAUCCAAUGAUCAAUCAAAAGAGAGUAAAUUGCAUAGGAACAUUUCAUGUUAAACCAACAGGCAACUAGAGUGGUCAAAAUACAACAAAAUAAAAACACAUAUGACAUGGUAAGCGCAACAAUGAAGAGAUCAAUCGAUCAUGUGAUGUCACCAUUGCAUGUGUUGCAUUAUGGAUUUUUGGGGUUUCGUAUUAAUAGACCUAACAUACUUAAAAUAAUAUUUUUGUAACAUUCAAAAUAUUUUUACACCAAAUCGAAAACAAUUCAAAUACUUUGAAAACAUAAAAAAAAAACAAGUAUAAAUUUUUUCAAAGACUUAAGAAAUUAAAGAUGCGAAAUCAAGUGUCACGAUUUCCUUCCUUGCGAUAGGNNNNNNNNNNNNNNNNNNNNNNNNNNNNNNNNNNNNNNNNNNNNNNNNNNNNNNNNNNNNNNNNNNNNNNNNNNNNNNNNNNNNNNNNNNNNNNNNNNNNNNNNNNNNNNNNNNNNNNNNNNNNNNNNNNNNNNNNNNNNNNNNNNNNNNNNNNNNNNNNNNNNNNNNNNNNNNNNNNNNNNNNNNNNNNNNNNNNNNNNNNNNNNNNNNNNNNNNNNNNNNNUAUAUAGGAUUGGAGGGAGUAGUAUUCCAAUGAAAUUUCAUCUUUUCCAACAUUUUUUCAGUGGUCACAUCAACUUAACAAAUGUUCAAUGAUACUUCACAUUUUAUUUUAACUAUUUCAUUCAUAUUACAAUUUUUAAUGAAGCAUAUUUUUUUAAAGUAAACAAUGAAAUAUUCGAUACCUAUAUGAAAUGUUUAUGAAUUUGUAUAUGACUGAAAUAAUUGAACUUUGUGUGAAAUAUCUCUAAACUGAUCCUGAAGUUGAUUCAAAUAUGACUGGAAUAAUUGAAAUAUCUGUGAUAUCUAUAAAUGAUUUUGUAACAAAAAGAGUUUUAAAUGCAGGAAACUAAUUAAAUUUGAUUGAAAUAUGACUAGAAUAAUUGAAAUUUGUGCAAAACCUUGUGAUAUGUUUAUGAUACUGAUUGAAAUAAUUGCAUUUCCUGUGGUUGUCCGUGCAUAUUUUAAAACAAUGAUAUCUCACUGAUAUAACUCAGAAAAAUGAAUAGAAUUGAUUUCUUAAGAAUGUGCUGAAGUAAAUGCCAAUUCUGAUCAAAAUAUAACACACACAAAAUAUUUGUAGAUGUUUUACUGGAAAAGAUGAAAUAUUUGUGAAAUUGACUUGAAAUAUGCAAGAUUGGUAUACUGGAAUAUUGUCCAACGUCUGCAAGUAUUAAGUAAUAAACCAGAGCAUUGCAGAGAAUGAUGCUAAUCCAUCAGAGCACGAGGGGUGCAUUGUCAUUGUACCGAUGCACUCCACCAUCCUUUGAACCACGUCCUUGUCGCAUACGUCAUUUAAUUAGGACAUUAAGGAACAUACUUAAAAAAUAACGAUUACGAAUGUAGACGCACACAACGACACAACGCCUACUGAAAAAUGGGUUGGAGUUGUGGAGUUUCAAGAUUGACGAAGUCACCACGGGCACUCCACUAUCGACAGAAAUGUCACCUCCUACUGAAACAAUAGUUUGCAUUAAUGAGACACCAAAGCAUCAGCUGAGAUUUGAUUGCUGGUGGGCUAGGGAUACCACCAGCCUCCUAACCAUAUAUCCACUGGUUGGUUCUCUAAAGAAAGUGUGUUGAAACUAUUUAAAAUCGAGGAUAUAAUUCAUUUCCACUACACAGUAAUAGUCUGUUGUGAGGUCCGAAGUAGGCGCCGAUCACCGCUUUACUAGUUCAAGAUAUCGUGAAGUGUAGAAACCCUACAUGCUAAUUAUUGUAGGUACUCCCUCCGUUCCAAAAUUAUUGUAGUGGUUUUGGUUUAAAAUUUGAACUAAAACCACGACAAUAGUUUUGGAACAGAGGGAGUAAUAUUCAUCUGUCUAACUGUUCCUAACUUGAGUUGCCAUAUAAGCACCCAAGGUUCACUUACAGUUUAUUAAACUACAAUGGUAAUUAAACAGUAGUUUGCCAUGAUACAGUUCUUACCGUGUUUAUCGUACAUGUGAGCAAGAAAAUAUUUAAGAGCGUCAUAACACAACAUCAUAAUAGAAGCAAAAUUACAGAGCUAGCAAUUCCUGUCCUUCACUAAUUUAUCCAUGCAAAAUUACAGAGUUAGCAAUUCCUGUCCAUAAAUACAUGUAGCUGCAUGCCUCAAUCCACCCCGCACAACCUUAUAAAAGAUGUCCCUAAAAUACAAGCAAAAUUAUAGAGCUACCUAUAUAUUCCUGUCCAUAAAAUACGUCUAUGCGUCCAUCCACAUACUUCAUGGAGAAAUACACUGCAAUAUCUGCCGAGCCAUUCACAACACUAGAGUGAACGCUGUCACUAUGCUUUCAGAAUUCCUUUGCCCUAGUACACUUCAAGCCUAGGUUCAGGGGUGCUCAGUUUUUUCACGAACUUUCAGAAACAUUGCAUGCCAAUGCAUUAGUAAAACUGAACGAAAAUGACUCUUUGUACAACUUUGCGGCUGGCCGGCGUUCAACCAUACAAGCAAACGGGCUCUCCGAACAGACAGCAUGAUCACGAUGGUCGAUGGACCAUAAGAAAAUGAGAGCAUAAGUUGCCAUCACGAAGAGCGACCUCUGACUAAGUAACGCCCAAGUAUUCAUCGUUCUCAUUUCUCAUGGAGCAACACACAGGCUACAUCCAGGACAUGAAGCAAGCGGGCAGAUCAAACCAUUUCCCCAAAGAUCCUUGUAAUUUACACCAUGAUGUUACAAUUUGAACCACCCAUUAUGUGUGCAGUUCACCGCAGUUGCCUUGAUAUAUGGCUACAACUCGCAGCUAGCGAGCGCCAACGCCUCACUUGCCGGGGACAAAGUUUGUGGCAAACGCCCAUGCGUUGUUGUUGACAGGGUCGGAGAGGUGGUCAGCGAGGUUCUCGAGUGGGCCCUUGCCGGUGACGAUGGCCUGCACGAAGAAGCCAAACAUAGAGAACAUGGCGAGGCGACCGUUCUUGACUUCCUUCACCUUGAGCUCCGCGAAUGCCUCUGGAUCGUCAGCCAAGCCCAGUGGGUCGAAGCUGCCCCCGGGGUAGAG
rnacentral:lncRNA from 1 species